rnacentral:lncRNA from 1 species
CUGCAAUCUUUGUGAAAGGGGCUGCUGUGUGAAAGACGUAGGAAAGAUUUCUGCUUGUUUUUCCACUAGUGAAAGGAGGAAAAGUGCCUGGAGCAAUGGAGGGAGAGAAAAAAGGCCCCUCUCCUGAACACUCAUCUGGCUGUUAAAGUGAGACCACCCUUGUUAUAUUUGCAGACUAGGGCCCCAUCAGGCGACCUCUUGUUUGGGCCUUACAAAAGAAAAGAAAUCUAUGUGGGUUUAGUUAUUAUACACUUUUGUUGAUUCAGAAAGAAUAUCGGGUUUCAAACAUUCAUUGGGGAAAAGGCGAACAACUCUGCAAAUGGCGAUGGAGUUGGGGUGAGAUGACCUGACAAAAGGUCCUACAGUGCUGGCUUUAGAGGGAGGGCAGCUGCCUGGGCCCCACACUUCUGGGCCCCUCCAGAAUCUUGUACAAAAUCCUGCCUGCCUCCUUUAAAGUCAAGUCAGUCGCCAUUAACUCAGCAACAUUGCCAGCAAGCAAGUCCCUCAUUGGUUAUUAUUUAUUAAAUUGGUAUGACACCCUUCAUCCGUAGAUCUUGGGGGAAACCUAGGCAUUGGGCUUCUCCUCCAGGCCCAUCCACACAAGCCCAUACACAAGAUCCUUGACUGGGAGCUGUCCUGCCCAUGCCCAGUUGCCCAAUUGUCCAUUUCUCCCAGGACACAAGUAGGGAGGAGGCAGCCAUCUUGUUUCACAAUGAAAUCUCAGCAGAGCAAAGGAAAUGCUGAGCUUUUGGGCCGUUUCUGUUCACAUAACAGCAGCACCUCUGGAGAUAACAGCUUAUUUUCCUCUUUAGUACGACUUGCAUUCGUUCUGAUGGUUGGUAUGAUGUAUUCAGUAACAUUCUUCCCCCCAGCUGCAAUUGGCCACAGCAAAUGCAUUGUGAUGCACUCACUGAUGAUUUCAUGGCGUCAUCAUAGAAUCGCAACGUUGGAAGGAGCCCUGAGGGUCAUCCAGUCCAACCCCCUGCAAUGCAGGAUUCCCAACCGAUGCAGGAAUCUCAAUCCUAUGGUGAGACCUGCCCGGUUGAGCAGUUGAGGGUGCAGAGGAUCUCUGGCUGAGCCUGGAGCUUCCUGGAUCAGCCAGAGAUCUACGCCAGUGCAACUUGAUCACCCUGACUCAUCUGGGGCCGUUUUAGCAAAGUUUGCAAACAGCUGAGAAAGGGAGGCGAGAGAAGCAAGGAGGGCAAGGGGUUGUUUCAGUGACAAAAGGGAACCUGGAGAGAUGUGAGUGCCGGCAGCAAGCUGCCCUUUAAGCUUAUUUUUUCUAAAUAGCUCGGUGGGUGGCUGGUGCUUGUUCAUGAAAGGAAGGUUGACCUUCUCCAUGGAGGGGGUCACCGGGAGGCGCAAAGAGGGUCUUGCUGGCUCGUCCUCCGUGUCAAGCUUCUCAGAGGGGGGAAUUCUGAAAAACACCAAAAGGGCGCGAUUUGGGGGUCUCUUCUGAAACAAAGCUCUAUGGAUGUCUGUCUGCCGAAAGGCUGAGGUAAUAAAUCUCUCAGGGUCGGGCCAAAUUAAUUAAUUUUUUUUUAAAAAAAAUCACAGACUUGGUGGGAGGGUCAGGGAGGGUUUAAAUAGCUUAUGCAAAAGGUUGGCCUUGUAUUCUGAGAUGGAUUCCUGAUGCUCCUGCAGGGAGAAGGGAGUUGGUGAGUCCUGCUAGCAAAGGUGGAAAUUAAAACUAAUAUAAAUGCCAUUGAUAAUAAAGAAAACAUAGGCCUUGCAGCAGAACAAGGCAAGUGAGUGCUGAGGCUGCAAAGUGGGUUCUGAGAAGGAAAUCACAAUUCUUCCUUAAUGUGAAACUCCAGUCAAAUGUAAAGCCAGCAAAGCAGGGAAGAUAAGAG